rnacentral:lncRNA from 1 species
GUUAAACAAAGAGUUGGAUGAAUCAAAAUACAGAGAGAAUCAGUUAAACAAAGAGCUGAAUGAUUCCAAAGGCAGAGAGAAUCAGUUAGACAAAGAGUUUGAUAAAAUAAAAUGCAAAGAGAAUCAGUUAAACAAAGAGUUAGAUGAUUUUAAAGUCAGAGAGAAUCAGUUACACAAAGAGUUGGAUAAAUCAAAAUACAGAGAGAAUCAGUUAAACGAACAGUUGGAUGAAUCAAAAUACAGAGAGAUUCAGUUAAAUAAUGACAAAGAGAAACUUAAUCAAAGAGGUGUGAUUAAAUUAAAGAAAGUAAAAGUAAAAGUUAAAGAUGGUUUUCUGCUUAAAACAUUACACUCAAAAUGUAAUAAAACACAGAGAGAAAGAAUUACAUGCCAAAGAAAAAGAGCUGCAUGACAGAGAGAGAGAACUGGAUAGAAGAGUGAAGAAACUGGCUGACAGACAGAGAAAUCUGAAUGAAGUACAGAAGCAGCUGGAGAUCAGAGAGAGAGAAGUGAGACAGAGAGAUGUGCGAUCCAGUGAACAUCAUCAGACCACAGCAGAUACUCCCUCUGAAUGCGAAGGACAGCCGAAGAGCAGAGAUGAUUCACAAGCCAGUGAAUCUCUUGGUGGUGAGGGAUGGAAACAGCAAGGAUUUAGAGCAGGCUGGUCAACACAGAUGACUACAUAAUCUCUGAUCAUGUGAUUGAGCAUCUGGAUUGUGAGGUAUUCCACACUCACAGAGGGAAAUACGCUUCUGAGGACCGGCACUCUUCUGGAUCUCUCCUCUCCUGACUCAGAUGCUAGUUUGUGACUGAUUUUUAUAUGAGUAUCUGAAGCUGUUUACUGUUGUGGAUCUCCUGAAAAAAUCUCUAGAACAUGAUGAUAACAAACAGUUGUAUGUCCUAAGCUUGUUGUAAACUGGGAGCAUUGUAGGGAGGGGUGCUCUUUCUUUUGCACUAUCCUUUUCUCAUGUGUAUGAGUAGUGAGGGAGGUAAGACUAUGUUGUUCAUUUCUAUUUUCUUUUCUAGGUAAGAACUGGCAUCUAAGUUAGUUUGGUUUUUAUUUUGAGCAUGUUCCCCUCCUGAAGCCUUUUUGAUACUCCCUUCAUUAUAUUAAUAAACCUUUUCUUUUUGUUAAGAAGCCACUUGUGUGUUAAGUGCUUCAGUCCCUUGGAAACAGAAUAGAUGAAGACCAAGUUCCAAUGACAUACCUGUACAAACCUCUAUGAUGUCUAUCACUGUUUGCAUUUUGGCAUCAGUUCCUAUGAUGUUGUGGUGUCUGACAGCAUCUGUGUAGAAAGAUGCAUCAGUUAUGUUUAUAAAAGCCACAAAAAGCAAUUCUGAAUAGACAGUAUAUGAGCCAUUAACAGUGUCAAAAGAAAGUUAUAUGAAAUCAUGGUAUUGAUAUAAUUGAAACAGG